AGAGACCCGUGAUUGAGAUCUUCCCUGUCGUUUAGAAGAGGGUGCUGGGAGUGCUGUGAGCAGAGAGGAAAAACAGAAUCAAGCGGAGGGCAAUAGAAUUCCAGAGCUGGAUUUCCUGAAGAUUUUCAUGUGCUAACGUGCACUGUGAUCUUCCUGAGGAGAGACAGUGUUACCCAAGAGAUUUAUUCUCUUGGUCCUCUUGUGGACUCAGCAUAUCCCUUUGGACCUGAUGGAUAAAGAAAGGAGCCAUAUGCCUCUUAGUCAUAAAAAGAGAACAUUCGAAGGACCAUUCAAGCAAAUACGUCUAAGCCACUGAGAUAUUGUUAAUUGGCGAAGACAGAUGCAGAGAGGAGCUCAGACAGAAGGAGCUGAGAUUUUCUAUUCCUCAUCUGAAGGUGCCUGGGUUCCAGGAGAUCCACCCCGGAAACCUGGCCAAUUAGCUGUCGAUGUCGCUCAAGAUCAAAACACCACCUAUAAAGAAACUAAUGCUGAGAGAAGUUAAAUAAUAUGCUCAAGGACAUACAAGUUAUAUGGCAGAGCUGGGAUUCCCUUCAGUAAUUCAACUUUAUGUCCUAAACCUUAAUCAUUAUGUUCCUGGAUACACAGUACUUCCUAACACAGGUAAGUGGAAUCCCUAUUUGCAAGUAACCCUAAGAACAUACCAAGCUAGGGAUCCAGAGGGGUCUGUGGAAGUGCUGACUGUUAGAAAGUGAAGCAUAUACCAUCCUGGGAUAGAUACAGUCCUCUGGUUUAAAGGGAUAGGAGAAGCAAACUGAGACAGACUUCAGCGUCAGUGGUGGCUGGGCACAGAUGCAUGGUUAGAAGGACUAGGAAUGGUAUCUUCCCAGUGGUCCAUAAUUGAGUUUUGCAUCCUACUGUUGAACCCAUUUUGAAGAAAGUAUGUAGUGAUGGUCUUUGAGCCUAAACUUUCUCGCUCUCUGCUUAGCCAGACAGGCAUCAUUCAUCAUGUUAGUGCUCACAUCCAAUAUUGGUAUCAACUGAGUAGUAAAAUAGUAAUCAUUUUUUUUGUUUGAUAGAUGAGUUUAAACAAGUAUUUUUAUUUCAUCUGUAGGAAACUAUAAUGAAAUGGAACUAGCCUUCCAAAUGCAGGUUGCACUAUGUAAUUAGGUAGAUAAACAUGGCUAUAGAAGUUAGAACUGCAUGAACUUUUAACAAAGAGCAAAGAGAGUAUUAUAGUCAUUUAUUGGUGAGGAUGUAAUUCUUACCAUGGUCAAAGGAACAACGUUUUCUUGAUGAUAGCUUUACCUCUAGCUUUAGUAAAUACGUGACUUUGUAUACUGCCCUGAGUGUGUUUUCAGUUGAAGAUAGUUAUCAUUCAUUUUCACUUUUGACAUCAGAAGAAGUCACGGAUGUAAACCUCUUGCUCAUUUAAGUUUUCUUAAGUAGUGCCUUGAUUUCAAGUGGAAAAGAAACAAAAUUUAUGGUACAAAACAGAAGCCUGACUCUAAUGUUUUAUACACAAGGUUUGGGUCUUUCUUUGAAGUGAAGGAGAGUCUGAAAAAAAAUGUGAUCCUUUUCUAUGCUGUAUCUCCUCCAGUCUUUUUAGUGGAAGUUGUAGUUUAGUGAAAGUUGAGUUGUAGAGUGUCCACUCAAGCCAAGUUUCUCCUAGGUAUUUCUUCCCCCUUGAGUGCUCUAGUCAUCCUGUCAAUCAUUUUAUGUGUUUUAAUGUGUUUUAUGUAGUUGGCAUGUGCUUCAAAGGUAGCUAUGAAAAUGAUGGUGCUGUAAUACCCUUGCACAAAUAUCUUUAAGCAUUAGCAAGUAGGCCUGUGGGCGAGAAACCGAAAGGCAGGACUACUGCGCCAAAGUGUACAUGCAUUCGAAUGCAAUGAACAUUAGGAAAUUAUAUUGCAAAAUGUUUUGUUUUCUCUCUUACAUGGAGGGCAUGAAAGUGUCCAUUUUCCGGUAUUUUUGUCAUCAUCAGAUAUUAUUAUUUUUAAAUUUUUGUACAGCUGAUGGGUGAAAACUGUCAUCUUAGUGUUGCUUUAAUUUUUUCCAGUUCCUCAGUCACCACAAAGUUGAAUAUCCUUUAGUAUUUAUUAGUGACUUGCUCUCUUCUUUUUUUGAACUAUCGGUUCAAAUCCUUUGUGUAUUUUUCUAGUGGUUCUAAUGUGUUGUUCUUAGAGUUGUAAGAGCUAUUAAUGAGUAUUGAUUUUUUUUGGUAAAUAUUUUCCUCCACUUGUUCCUUGUUUAUUGAAGAUCCUUAUGAUGUCUUUCAAAGUAUCUGAGUUGAAAUAUUUAGUUAGUAAAAUCAACUGACAUUUGUAUAUAUGUCCUUUGAGUUUUGUGUGUUACUUAAAAAGACUUUCGUGUCUCUCUCUCUCUCUCUCUCUCUCUCUAUAUAUAUAUAUAUAUAUAUCCUAUAGUUUUUUCUAGUGCUUUGUGUUCACAACUCAAGCCAUAAUUUAUUAAUGAUCUUCUUAACAUCUAUUUCCUUCUAACGCCUUUUGAAGCUUCUCUUAUUCAUUUGAGUCUUUCAUUUGUAUAUAUAAUGAAAUAUAUAGCUAAGUUUUUCAAUGGAUAUCUAAUAUUUCCAACUGCGUUUUAAGCAGCACAUAAUUUUACCUCUAAAUUGAAGUAUCAUCUUUAUCACAUAAUAAAUUCUUAUGUAUGUUCAUUUCCAGACUUUUAUAUUCUGUUCCAAUUUAUUUGUUUGUUCCUGACAGUCACCCCAUUGUUUUAAUAAGUGUAACUUUAUAUUUUGAACUUGGUACGCUGAGUCUUGUGGGGUUUUUUGAUGCAGAAUUUUUUGGCUAUUCUUGGAAGGUACUCUUUUUGUUAACUUUAGGAACAGCUAGUAAAUAUCCUUUCGAAAAAUCUCAGUGGAGUUUUGAUUGAAACCAUGUAGUAUAUAUAGAUCUACUAGAGAAAAGAAAGUCAUCUUUCCAAGCAAGGGUGUCUCCUUGCCCAGGGUGUCUGCCAGCAUAUUAUCAAGAACUGGUGCCACAAAAAUGUUUGAGUUGCUCAACACACUCCCAAAGUUAACACUGAAGAAAAAUAUUUCUUUCUUAAUGAAUGUUAAGUCUACACCCUGCCUCAUUUCAUCUGCAAAAUGAAACUAAGAUCUUAGGAUGGCUGCCUGGGGAAGUUCUGGGCCUGUCAUUUGAGAAGCUUUGCCAUCUGGCUCUAGAAGUGAUUCAUAGUCGGAUCCUGCAUGAUGUCAAAAUGUUGAAAAAAUUAUAAAAACCUUGAACUAGAUUAUUUAGGUUAGAUUCAUUAUAUUUUCAGUGAAGACUAAUUGUAUUAGUUUGUCUAACUUUUAUCUAAGGCUGUGCAUGCAUAGCUCUGAGAGUGCUGCCCAAUUCAGUUGAUUUUCAUUCAGAAAAAUUAUCAGUAAAAUUCCAAAAAAAAAAAAAA
rnacentral:lncRNA from 1 species